rnacentral:rRNA from 1 species
AUUGAACGCUGGCGGCAGGCCUAACACAUGCAAGUCGAGCGGAUGAAGGGAGCUUGCUCCUGGAUUCAGCGGCGGACGGGUGAGUAAUGCCUAGGAAUCUGCCUGGUAGUGGGGGAUAACGUCCGGAAACGGGCGCUAAUACAGCAUCCGUCCUGAGGGAGAAAGUGGGGGAUCUUCGGCCCUCACGCUAUCAGAUGAGCCUAGGUCGGAUUAGCUAGUUGGUGGGGUAAAGGCCUACCAAGGCGACGAUCCGUAACUGGUCUGAGAGGAUGAUCAGUCACACUGGAACUGAGACACGGUCCAGACUCCGACGGGAGGCAGCAGUGGGGAAUAUUGGACAAUGGGCGAAAGCCUGAUCCAGCCAUGCCGCGUGUGUGAAGAAGGUCUUCGGAUUGUAAAGCACUUUAAGUUGGGAGGAAGGGCAGUAAGUUAAUACCUUGCUGUUUUGACGUUACCAACAGAAUAAGCACCGGCUAACUUCGUG